CGCACUUGCACCUCUCGGGCGCCUGGUCGGCCGUUUGCACGCUGUCCUGCGUCGUCGGCAUAAUGGGUUUGAACUUGUCCUUCACUGGCUCACCUCCCGGCUCACCUCCCGGCUCACCUCCCGGACUGCUUUCUCUUUCAGGUAUUCUCCAGAGGCGCUUGUAUUUCCAAAUGUUCUUCUUCCUUUGGUAAAUCUGUAUUGGAAAAGCAGAGAAGGCAGUGCCCUUUAAAAUCAGGGGAUUCUUUUUUCAAGAUGCGUGUUGGUGCACUGACCCUUUCUGACAAGCACACUGGCACCACCGCAGAGGGAAGAAAACAGAUCCUACAACACAGAAAGGGUGUCUUCUAUUGACCCUCUUGAAAAGUCUUACUUUCCUAUGAGAUCCCAAAUAAAUGGAAAUCAUGAAACCAAAAUAAAAAUGAUAUUCAUGGACAAAA